GAUGAACGCUGGCGGCGUGCCUAAUACAUGCAAGUCGAGCGAACGGACGAGAAGCUUGCUUCUCUGAUGUUAGCGGCGGACGGGUGAGUAACACGUGGAUAACCUACCUAUCAGACUGGGAUAACUUCGGGAAACCGGAGCUAAUACCGGAUAAUAUUUUGAACCGCAUGGUUCAAAAGUGAAAGACGGUCUUGCUGUCACUUAUAGAUGGAUCCGCGCUGCAUUAGCUAGUUGGUAAGGUAAAGGCUUACCAAGGCAACGAUGCAUAGCCGACCUGAGAGGGGGGUCGGCCACACUGGAACUGAGACACGGUCCAGACUCCUACGGGAGGCAGCAGUAGGGAAUCUUCCGCAAUGGGCGAAAGCCUGACGGAGCAACGCCGCGUGAGUGAUGAAGGUCUUCGGAUCGUAAAACUCUGUUAUUAGGGAAGAACAUAUGUGUAAGUAACUGUGCACAUCUUGACGGUACCUAAUCAGAAAGCCACGGCUAACUACGUG
rnacentral:rRNA from 1 species